GACGAACGCUGGCGGCGUGCUUAACACAUGCAAGUCGAACGGAAAGGCCCUGCUUUUGUGGGGUGCUCGAGUGGCGAACGGGUGAGUAACACGUGAGUAACCUGCCCUUGACUUUGGGAUAACUUCAGGAAACUGGGGCUAAUACCGGAUAGGAGCUCCUGCUGCAUGGUGGGGGUUGGAAAGUUUCGGCGGUUGGGGGUGGACUCGCGGCUUAUCAGCUUGGUGGUUGGGUAGUGGCUUACCAAGGCUUUGACGGGUAGCCGGCCUGAGAGGGUGACCGGCUCAACGAGGAUGGGGAUGCGACACAGACUAGAACGGGACGGAACAGUGGGGAAGGUGAUACUAGGGGCGGGAGGCUGGUGCGACAAAGCCGCGUGGGGUAAGACGGCAUGGGGGUUGUAAACCGCUGCCGCCUGAGACGAAGCGUGAGUGACGGUAACGGGUAAAGAAGCACCGGCUAACUCCGUG
rnacentral:rRNA from 1 species